rnacentral:lncRNA from 1 species
GCGGGUGCUUCCUCUUCAAAGGGCGAAUACAACUUUCCUGUUUCUUAGUGUUUUCCUCUUCAAGAUCAAUAAUUUCUCUAGGAUAAUACUUUAUGCGCUUGGAAUAGACAGGAAAUUGGCGGAGUGCUUCAUUUAAAGGCAUAGUAAUCUUCGCCUGAUUAAAAAUUUCUCUAAAGUGCCCACAAUUACUAUCUUUUCUC